GCCAAUGUAGCAUAGUGGUUUGAGUGUUAGACUAUGACUCUGGAGAACAGGAUUCAAUUCCCCGCUUGGCU